UGACCUGAGUGAGCUGCCACCGCUGG
rnacentral:piRNA from 1 species